AUGCACGCUGGCGGCGUGCUUAACACAUGCCAGUCGCACGAUGAAGCCCAGCUUGCUGGGUGGAUUAGUGGCGAACGGGUGAGUAACACGUGAGUAACCUGCCCUUAACUCUGGGAUAAGCCUGGGAAACUGGGUCUAAUACCGGAUAGGAGCGUCCACCGCAUGGUGGGUGUUGGAAAGAUUUAUCGGUUUUGGAUGGACUCGCGGCCUAUCAGCUUGUUGGUGAGGUAAUGGCUCACCAAGGCGACGACGGGUAGCCGGCCUGAGAGGGUGACCGGCCACACUGGGACUGAGACACGGCCCAGACUCCUACGGGAGGCAGCAGUGGGGAAUAUUGCACAAUGGGCGCAAGCCUGAUGCAGCGACGCCGCGUGAGGGAUGACGGCCUUCGGGUUGUAAACCUCUUUCAGUAGGGAAGAAGCGAAAGUGACGGUACCUGCAGAAGAAGCACCGGCUAACUACGUA
rnacentral:rRNA from 1 species